ensembl:lncRNA
CGUCUCUCUCUCUGUCUCUCUCUGUGUCUCUUUCUCGCUGUUUCAAGGCUGUAGGCCAUGCAGAAACGCUCUUCUGUUCUCACUCAUGUUUUCUGCGCUCGCUGAUGUCUCUGCUCUCAUUGUGAGGUUGUGUGUGUGUGUGUGUGUGUGUGUGUGUGUGUGUGUGUGUGUGUGUGUGAAGGGAUGUCUCUCUCUCUCUCUCUCUCUCUCUCUCUCUCUCUCUGUAGUUCGAGGUUGUCAUUCAGCCCUGACCUCACUGACCUUUCAAAUAAAGAGUCAGAGAAUCAAUCUACAGUCUGUUUCUUCUGCACUAGAUUAUUUGGGAGAUUGAGUUUUUGUAGUGCUAUGAUUAUGGAUUGAUGAUGUUACAGCUCAGCCUCUCUGUUGCUUUGUUCCAAGCCCUACAUAGAGAGCACGCUUCUAAGGGAACGUCCUGAAUGAAGUGAAAAUUAAAUUAACUUCCUAACUGAUUUGGACCUAGCACACAAAUAAUGGCUCCUGGAUCUGAAGCGCCUCCCGAAGCAGACAGACGGAUGAAAGUGAGUUCAAAAUCAGCUCAAAACCCGCCGCUCGUCUCUCUCUCACCUGUGGCCCACCAGACGUGUGAGCGAGUGUGAGCACAGGUUGAGGCCAGACAGCACCAGAAGAAAUCAAGUCAAAUGGGCUUGGAGUGACAUGAGGAUUCCCCUCAUUCGCCCUGUUUGGAUCAGAACUCAGAGAGAAAAGAUGCAUCAAACACAUGAUGAAAUCCACAGAAGUCCACUGACAUGAAGCAUGAGAUUGUCAUGGUGCUCUCAGUGCAGGUGUGCAACUGCAGAGAGAGAAAGAGAGUGUUAUUCAUCCCCAGGGGGCACUGUUAGCCCUCCACUUCAACACCAACAACCUGCUCCAUGUGGCCCCCAAACACACACACACACACACACACAGCUGCAGAAGGUGCUGGUGACAGACAUUAAUUUGGUGCUUCAUAUCAUGACACAAAAGACAUCUUCCAUCAAGAGUCCACACGCCCUUCUGCUCAUCUGAGAAUCCAGAGCACAGGUGUCUGUUCACUGCCUACAGAAACAUCCCACGCGCAACCAGCACUUAUGAGUGGAGAAACUUACCUCCG